UACGUAGGUGGCAAGCGAUACUCGGAAUCACUAGGCGUAAAGCGCAGGUAGGUGGUUCGGUAAGUCUUUUGUGAAAGCUCCUGGCUCAACUGGGAGAGGUCAAGGGAAACUGCCGGGCUAGAGUUUGGUAGGGGAUACUGGAAUUCCUGGUGUAGCGGUGAAAUGCGUAGAUAUCAGGAGGAAUACCUAUGGCGAAAGCAGGUAUCUGGGCCAUAACUGACACUGAGCUGCGAAAGCUAGGGGAGCAAACAGG
rnacentral:rRNA from 1 species